AGAGUUUGAUCAUGGCUCAAACGAACGCUGGCGGCAUGCCUAACACAUGCAAGUCGAACGAGACCUUCGGGUCUAGUGGCGCACGGGUGCGUAACGCGUGGGAACCUGCCUUUAGGUUCGGAAUAACAGUGAGAAAUUACUGCUAAUACCGGAUAAUGUCUUCGGACCAAAGAUUUAUCGCCUUUAGAUGGGCCCGCGUUGGAUUAGCUAGUUGGUGGGGUAAAGGCCUACCAAGGCGACGAUCCAUAGCUGGUCUGAGAGGAUGAUCAGCCACACUGGGACUGAGACACGGCCCAGACUCCUACGGGAGGCAGCAGUGGGGAAUAUUGGACAAUGGGCGAAAGCCUGAUCCAGCAAUGCCGCGUGAGUGAUGAAGGCCUUAGGGUUGUAAAGCUCUUUUACUGGGGAUGAUAAUGACAGUACCCAGAGAAUAAGCUCCGGCUAACUCCGUGCCAGCAGCCGCGGUAAUACGGAGGGAGCUAGCGUUGUUCGGAAUUACUU
rnacentral:rRNA from 1 species